GAUUAUGGCUCAGGAUGAACGCUGGCGGCGUGCCUAACACAUUCAAGUCGAACGAACUGUAGAAAUACAGUGAGUGGCGGACGGGUGAGUAACGCGUAAGCAAUCUGCCUUUGUGUGUGGAAUAACAACCGGAAACAGUUGCUAAUACCGCAUAACGCAUAGGAGUCGCAUGGCUCUUAUGCCAAAGAUUUAUCGCACGAAGAUGAGCUUGCGUCCGAUUAGAUAGUUGGCGGGGUAACGGCCCACCAAGUCUACGAUCGGUAGCCGGACUGAGAGGUUGAACGGCCACAUUGGAACUGAGAUACGGUCCAGACUCCUACGGGAGGCAGCAGUGGGGAAUAUUGGGCAAUGGACGAAAGUCCUGACCCAGCGACGCCGCGUGAGGGAAGAAGGUCUUCGGAUUGUAAACCUUAGUCAACAGGGACGAAGCAAGUGACGGUACCUGUGAAGGAAGCCACGGCUAACUACGUGCCAGCCGCCGC
rnacentral:rRNA from 1 species